GACGAACGCUGGCGGCGUGCUUAACACAUGCAAGUCGAACGGAAAGGCCCUGCUUUUGUGGGGUGCUCGAGUGGCGAACGGGUGAGUAACACGUGAGUAACCUGCCCUUGACUUUGGGAUAACUUCAGGAAACUGGGGCUAAUACCGGAUAGGAGCUCCUGCUGCAUGGUGGGGGUUGGAAAGUUUCGGCGGUUGGGGCUGGACUCGCGGGUUAUCCGCUUGUUUGUGGGGUAGUGGCUUACCAAGGCUUUGAAGGGUAGCCGGCCUGAGAGGGUGACCGGCCACAUUGGGACUGAGAUACGGCCCAGACUGCUACGGGAGGCAGCAGUGGGGAAUAUUGCACAAUGGGCGGAAGUCUGAUGCAGCAACGCCGCGUGCGGGAUGACGGCCUUCGGGUUGUAAACCGCUUUCGCCUGUGACGAAGAGUGAGUGACGGUAAUGGGUAAAGAAGCGCCGGCUAACUACGUG
rnacentral:rRNA from 1 species